rnacentral:rRNA from 1 species
AGGACGAACGCUGGCGGCGUGCUUAACACAUGCAAGUCGAGCGAUGAAGCUUCUUCGGAAGUGGAUUAGCGGCGGACGGGUGAGUAACACGUGGGUAACCUGCCUCAUAGAGGGGAAUAGCCUUUCGAAAGGAAGAUUAAUACCGCAUAAGAUUGUAAUGUCGCAUGACGUAGCAAUUAAGGAGUAAUCCGCUAUGAGAUGGACCCGCGUCGCAUUAGCUAGUUGGUGAGGUAACGGCUCACCAAGGCGACGAUGCGUAGCCGACCUGAGAGGGUGAUCGGCCACAUUGGGACUGAGACACGGCCCAGACUCCUACGGGAGGCAGCAGGUGGGAAUAUUGCACAAUGGGGGAAACCCUGAUGCAAGCAACGCCGCGUGAGUGAUGACGGUCUUCGGAUUGUAAAGCUCUGUCUUUAGGGACGAUAAUGACGGUACCUAAGGAGGAAGCCACGGCUAACUACGUGCCAGCCGCAGC